AGAGUUUGAUCAUGGCUCAGGACGAACGCUGGCGGCGUGCCUAAUACAUGCAAGUCGAGCGAAUCUGAUGGGAGCUUGCUCCCUGAUGAUUAGCGGCGGACGGGUGAGUAACACGUGGGUAACCUGCCUGUAAGACUGGGAUAACUCCGGGAAACCGGGGCUAAUACCGGAUAACUUUUUUCUUCGCAUGAAGGAGAAUUGAAAGAUGGCUUUUCGCUAUCACUUACAGAUGGACCCGCGGCGCAUUAGCUAGUUGGUGAGGUAACGGCUCACCAAGGCGACGAUGCGUAGCCGACUUGAGAGGGUGAUCGGCCACACUGGGACUGAGACACGGCCCAGACUCCUACGGGAGGCAGCAGUAGGGAAUCUUCCGCAAUGGACGAAAGUCUGACGGAGCAACGCCGCGUGAGUGAUGAAGGUUUUCGGAUCGUAAAACUCUGUUGUUAGGGAAGAACAAGUAUCGUUCGAAUAG
rnacentral:rRNA from 1 species